AUAUUGUUAAUUAAUUCAUAAACAAAAAUAAAUAAAAAUUUAGAACAUAGGGUGCCUCCGGAUUUUUAAAAAACGAUUAAGGGUGCCGUGAGUCAAAAAAAGUUGGGAACCUCUGGGUUAGGUACUUAUUUAAAAAACGACACAGUCUGUACGUGACGGACGAUGACGUCCCGGAUUUACCGCUCUAAAGCUAACGCCCCAAGCGUUUCGAGUCGUUUGGAAUAUAAUUACAAUUGAAAAUACUUCAUUUCGCCAUCCAAAAACGUGCAAACAAAUACAUGUAUUUGCAGAUAUUCCGCGUUUGUUAAAGUUGGCACAAAACCAUUUCAUUGACAAAUUAUUAAAGAAAUAAUGGCAAUAAAUGAUGGUCAUGAUUUAAAAUUUGCACAUAAGGUCAGUGAAAGACACAUUUCAUUAGAAGGGCCCACUAGAAUGAAUGUGAAAUUGGCCACACAGGUAUUUUUG